CGCGUGACUCGGCGACGGCGGUGGCGGGAUGUGCUCGUCUUUGCUUCUUGUCCUUGGCCUGGCUUUGGUAUCGUCGGGGCAAAUCGCCUUCCGUGGUGAUGACAGGGGCAAGACAUGCAAUGAUCCGGAGAACAAUCCGGGAGUGUGCGGCUUCUUGAACGAGUGUCCAGCACUGCAAGAGGCACUCAGAAACAGGAACAUACCCCUCCCGCGCAAGGCGCUGUGUGGGUGGUAGGUCUGCCUUUGAUCCGAACGAGUGAAGGUGCUACUGGGCGACUUGAACUUUGCCACGACCACAGAAGAAAGCACCCAGUACCCGCCCAGAGUGUACAAUGUGGAAAAAGCCUUAAAACAUCCGGAAUAUA